UACGGAGGGUGCAAGCGUUGUCCGGAUUUAUUGGGCGUAAAGAGCUCGUAGGCGGCUCGUCGCGUCGACCGUGAAAACCCGCGGCUUAACUGCGGGCUUGCGGUUGAUACGGGCGGGCUAGAGUUCGGUAGGGGAGACUGGAAUUCCUGGUGUAGCGGUGAAAUGCGCAGAUAUCAGGAGGAACACCAGCGGCGAAGGCGGCGCUCUGGGCUGGAACUGACGCUGAGGAGCGAAAGCGUGGGGAGCGAACAGG
rnacentral:rRNA from 1 species